rnacentral:lncRNA from 1 species
GUAGGUCUACAAGACAGAUUAACAAGUCCAACAAUAACUGACUACAUGACCAAUUGAACAAUGAUCGAGAAGUCUUUCAACUUUGACAUGGCCAUUGAUCUCCGUCCUGAAAUAGCUGCCUGCUCAAGCAAACAUUCAAAAUGUCCUUGCACCUAGAUUCGUCAUGUAGUAUAAGCUGAAAACACAAAAAAGGGACUAAACGAGAAAAAUAUCAGAUACACAUCUCCUGAGAGUGCGCUGAGAAAGCUAAAGUGUCAAUGAAGCUCCCCGCUGCAAAUCGGGCUGCAAGAGAGUUUCCUGCAUUUGUGGGAUUUUGCCCUGCGCGAGAUUCAAGGGGAUUCAAUGUGAAUUCAAAGCACUCAGGCCUUUGCAAUGAUUGAUCACCAAAAAUAUCCUCACCAACGACAGCGUAAACAUCAAUGAUGGAUCAUCAAAGAUUAUUUCUUUAACUAAAAUAGUAACUACGAGAAUACAGUGUCGAAUGGGUUAAAAUCCCUCAACUCGUAGUAAAAUCUUACGUUGGUCAUUGAACUUAAAC